CUCUUCUCAGGGUUGCACCUGGAGAGUUUCCAGUACUCUAACAGUCUCAGCUAUGGGAGGGAGAGUCAAGCAGAGGCAUACCCAUUCCAUUCCUAGCUUGGGCAGUGGCUAGCGAGUGCAAGGCAAUCUCUGCUACAAGU